CGUACACUCCUACGGGAGGCAGCAGUGGGGAAUAUUGGACAAUGGGCGCAAGCCUGAUCCAGCCAUGCCGCGUGAGUGAUGAAGGCCCUAGGGUUGUAAAGCUCUUUCACCGGUGAAGAUAAUGACGGUAACCGGAGAAGAAGCCCCGGCUAACUUCGUGCCAGCAGCCGCGGUAAUACGAAGGGGGCUAGCGUUGUUCGGAUUUACUGGGCGUAAAGCGCACGUAGGCGGACUAUUAAGUCAGGGGUGAAAUCCCGGGGCUCAACCCCGGAACUGCCUUUGAUACUGGUAGUCUUGAGUUCGAGAGAGGUGAGUGGAAUUCCGAGUGUAGAGGUGAAAUUCGUAGAUAUUCGGAGGAACACCAGUGGCGAAGGCGGCUCACUGGCUCGAUACUGACGCUGAGGUGCGAAAGCGUGGGGAGCAAACAGGAUUAGAUACGCCAGUAGUCCCAUGA
rnacentral:rRNA from 1 species